UGGAUGGGGAGGGCCUACCCUGGCUCUUAUUUUCCCCUCCAUAGCAAUUCCUAGACGAUCCCAAAUAUAGCAGUGAUGAGGAUCUGCCCUCCAAACUGGAAGGCUUCAAAGAUAUCAUGUCCCUGAAACGAAUGCUGGAGAAACUUGGAGUCCCCAAGACUCACCUAGAGCUAAAGAAAUUAAUUGGAGAGGUGUCCAGUGGCUCCGGGGAGACGUUCAGCUACCCUGACUUUCUCAGGAUGAUGCUGGGCAAGAGAUCUGCCAUCCUAAAAAUGAUCCUGAUGUAUGAGGAAAAAGCGAGAGAAAAGGAAAAGCCAACAGGCCCCCCAGCCAAGAAAGCUAUCUCUGAGUUGCCCUGAUUUGAAGGGAAAAGGGAUGAUGGGAUUGAAGGGGCUUCUAAUGACCCAGAUAUGGAAACAGAAGACAAAAUUGUAAGCCAGAGUCAACAAAUUAAAUAAAUUACCCCCUCCUCCAGAUCAA
rnacentral:misc_RNA from 1 species